AGUGGCGGACGGGUGAGUAACGCGUGGGUAACCUGCCUCACACUGGGGGAUAACAGUUAGAAAUAGCUGCUAAUACCGCAUAAGCGCACAGUUCCGCAUGGAACAGUGUGAAAAACUCCGGUGGUACAAGAUGGACCCGCGUCUGAUUAGCUGGUUGGUGAGGUAACGGCCUACCAAGCCGACGAUCAGUAGCCGACCUGAGAGGGUGACCGGCCACAUUGGGACUGAGACACGGCCCAAACUCCUACGGGAGGCAGCAUG
rnacentral:rRNA from 1 species